rnacentral:lncRNA from 12 species
GGCGUUCUCUCCGGGCCUGAACUUGGUUGACCCUCUGCAGUUUCGUCCCGGGGCUCUGGGAAGUUGUCUCAACACUGAGGCUGAGUUUUAGCGUCCUUCCCCGGGGUCCCCAGCGGUGACAGCUCCUGGCAGGGAGUGCUAAAGUCCUUUGGCUACUGCCCGAAGAUGACGUCUUGGGACCGUCUCAGCCGCCAGCAGCACCCUCCAAGGAUGAGGAGGCCCCCAGGAACUUUGGCUCCUGAACUGAACUACCACAGUGUCCUGGGUCAGCUCCGAGAGCAGUUCCCCAGGUUAUCCCCUCACCUGGCAGCGCAGGUGGACAGCAUGUACCACACGGUGAGCCACCCCGGGCAGCCCCCAGGAGCCGGGCUUGGGGACACGGUCUCCUCCACUUGCUUCUGCUUCCUUGGGGCGAGCAAGGUCACCCGUGCAGGCCAGCUUCUCCAGGAGCGUUUUUCCUCAUGUGUGCACACCUCGCUGCCAAAGUUAGACAUUCCAUAUUUAAAGGAAGGGCUUCUUUGGCCACUCAUCAUUGAGGGAUAGGUAACGGGAGCCCCUGCUCAUGAGGAGUAUAUGCGCUGGUGUGGUGCUGGUCUUCUAGAACCUUCCUCAACGAUGGGAAUGUUCUAUACCAACAGUACCCAAUAUGACACCCACUGGCUGCUUGUGGCUGUUGAGAACUUGUAAAGACUGACUUUUUUUUUUUUUUUUUUAAGAUUUUACUUAUUUAUUCGAGAAAGAGCAAGGGAAAGAGAGCACAAGCAGAGGUGAGAGGGAGAAGCCAGACCCUGAGAUCAUGACCUGAGCCAAAGGCAGAUGUUUAACUGACUAAGCUCCCCAGGUGCCCCAGGAACUGAAUUUUUAACUUGAUUAAAUUUAAAUAGCCACACUUGACUAGUGGCUAGCUCCUUGGACAGGGCACCCCCAGGGCGAGGAGAGAGAUAAGAAAGCAGAUCACAAAUCGUAACCACUAUAAAGGAGACAGAAGAUAAUGGGAUGGAGUGAUACAGAUACUGAGCUAAACUAGUCAGGAAGGGCUUCUUGGAAGAAGUGGUGUUCACAGGGAGAUGUGGAAGAUAAGGAGGUCCUGCCAUCCCAGAGAGAGUGGGGAAGGGGAUUCCGAGCAGAGGCGCACAGCCUGUGCAAAGGCCCUGGGGCAGGACUGGCCUUGGUCUGUUGGAGGAAUGGGCAAGGAGGCCAGUGUGGCUGGAGC